rnacentral:rRNA from 1 species
AUUGAACGCUGGCGGCAGACCUAACACAUGCAAGUCGAGCGGAUGAAGGGAGCUUGCUCCUGGAUUCAGCGGCGGACGGGUGAGUAAUGCCUAGGAAUCUGCCUGGUAGUGGGGGAUAACGUCCGGAAACGGGCGCUAAUACCGCAUACGUCCUGAGGGAGAAGGUGGGGGAUCUUCGGACCUCACGCUAUCAGAUGAGCCUAGGUCGGAUUAGCUAGUUGGUGGGGUAAAGGCCUACCAAGGCGACGAUCCGUAACUGGUCUGAGAGGAUGAUCAGUCACACUGGAACUGAGACACGGUCCAGACUCCUACGGGAGGCAGCAGUGGGGAAUAUUGGACAAUGGGCGAAAGCCUGAUCCAGCCAUGCCGCGUGUGUGAAGAAGGUCUUCGGAUUGUAAAGCACUUUAAGUUGGGAGGAAGGGCAGUAAGUUAAUACCUUGCUGUUUUGACGUUACCAACAGAAUAAGCACCGGCUAACUUCGUG